UGCAGUUCUUCUUUGCUUGCAUGCCUUCAUUAGCUGUUUAUCUGGUGGCUCAGUAUGCUCGCUAUGAAAUCAGAAGGAUGGAAGCAGAAGUAGAGAAAAAGAAGAAAGCUGAGGAAGAAGAGAAAACAAAAGAAGCGGAAUCAGUUGCCGAGGAGGACGAUUCAAAGUUGUCAAAGA